rnacentral:misc_RNA from 1 species
GAUGAAGAACGUAGCGAAAUGCGAUAAGUAAUGUGAAUUGCAGAUUUCAGUGAAUCAUCGAAUCUUUGAACGCACCUUGCGCCUUGUGGUAUUCCACAAGGCAUGCCCGUUUGAGUAUCAUUAAAUCAUCAACUCUAAAACCUUUGUGGUUUUUUUUAGAGCUUGGUCUUGAGGGUUUUGCAGGCUUUUUUUUUUUUUUUUCGAGUCUGCUCCCUUUAAAUGCAUUAGCGAGACUUCCCUAUGCUGAACCGUCUCUUUGACGUGAUAAUUAUCUGCGUCGAAUUUUGGUUCUCGUUGGGCUUGCUUCUAAUCGUCUGUUAAAGACAAAACGGAUUUGGGUGCAUAUAUGCGCCUUUUUCCAAAACCUUUUUUUGAUCUCAAAUCGGGUAGGACUACCCGCUGAACUUAAGCAUAUCAAUAAGCGGAGGA